rnacentral:lncRNA from 1 species
GAGACCUUGACAAGAUCCAGAUUGACUCCAUGUCUUUUCUGUGCUUGGUCUCCGUUUCUUUCUCCCCUCUAUUUGGUUUUAAGGAGCAGUCCCCUUGAGACCCACAAAUAACUGGACCUGCUGGACGGGUCAAGUGGCACCCAGGUGGAGCCUCAACGUAUGACCACCCUCCAGAUGACAACAAGGUUGAGGUAACACCAGCCAGGGUAGAGACCUCCAUGGAUCGCAUCCCUAGCGCAACACGGGGAGUCUUCAGGAUGAAGAUGGAUCGCGGUGGCUGCCAGAGAGAUUAAUUCGUCAGAUGAACACAGAUUCUGACUCUUCUCAUAAGUAUCAUUCUGAAGACUAAAGUUCCUUUGUGGUUAGAAUUCAGCUGGGAACGGAAGCUCCCAGAAAAACCGUUUUCCUGCUACUCUCUGAGCCUGCUACCUGACACAGGAGGCUAGAGAUUAACCUCAGCUUUACUAUUUACAUUUGAAUAAAGUACCUAGACUUCCCCCAAAAAAUAUCUGCUUUCCUACUUUCUCAAUGUCUAGUCUUUGUUUUUCAAACAGGUCAAUCAACAUUCUCCAGCCGGACCAGGGAAUGUGCAUCCCCGCCCCCCUAGAGCACACAGGUGGCAACUGCUAUUUUCAUUCCCAGGACAUUCCAGCACGUGGCCUUCAGUCUGAUUUGAAAUUUAUGUUUACCAAGAGGGCUAGAAGAGCAGAUAAAAGAUUGCUUUUUAUUCUGAUAGAUGGGCCUAGUCCCUUGACUGGCCUCUGGCUUUUCACCCUUGCUGUUACUGCAAGGUGUCCUUAAUUCCUCAGGCUAUGGGAAUAACAGGGAUGAGGAGGAACGAAUCCAGCUCCUAUUUUAGCCACAAAUCGUGGUGUUACUAAUGACAUAAUUCUUGCCUAGGCCUUGCUAAAUCUGAGGUUAACAAUUCUCCUUUAGGAGCUGCACAGUACUCAGAACUGUGCAUACUGGUUCUUGAUCAUAUGAAUACAGUAUGGGUAUCGCUUGGUGCAGAGAACUACUGCAGGGAAAGUCCAGCUUGACCAUUUCUGAGUUUCCUGUGGGUUAUACCCGGUUUAAAAUGGAGGUUGGUAUCUAAUUGCAGCUAAAAAAACAAACAAACAAAAAUCUACGGCUCUGCCUCCCCUCCCCAAAAGAUACCAAGAGCCAAAGGUGUGGGUCGUGACAGCACCCACAGGAGGAAUCAGGUCAAUGUCCACCCAAGCCAAGGUUAAAAGCCCAGUCAUCUACGGAUGAGAAAAAUCAUUUGAUCACCUCAGUUAAGUGUUGCCUUAUUAAACUUAAUUAAUAGGGGGGAGAGAGGUUGGAGACCAUACUGUUGGAAGGGCAAGCCCUUCACUUCCUCCCACCCAAAUAAUAAGCCAAUUGGCCUUGUACUACAGAGCCAGUUGUCACCCCAUUCUCCCUGUUUUCCGCCUGUCAUCCAAAAAUGUGGAGGAAUAUCAACUCAGUGUCAUUCUUAAUAAAGUGAAUUUCAAAUUUGUUCAGUCAAACUUAGCCAGGGUUCCAACGCCCUACUUAAAAUUCAACUAGGAAGUUACCUAUUCAGUACUAAUUACCAUUAUAAAGUCAGAGCCUACAGCUCAGGGCCUUUCUGUUAGUUGUUUACUAGGAUAGAAAGGACAGUCUUAGGCAGAUACAGUUUACCAUAAGAAAAGUUAGGGAAUCCCAUGGAAACAGGUUUUUUCUUUAGCCCUAGAAUUCAGGCAGAACUAUUGAGCAUAGAUAAAUUUUUUGCCACAGGCCAGACUUUUCUUUUUCUUUUCUUUUAUUUUUGUUAACAACAGGGAGAUGUAGUCUCCCCUCCCCCAGCCUGAAACCUGCUUGCUCAGGGGUGGAGGUUCCUGCUCAUUCGUUCUGCCACACCCACUGCUGGACUGUGACAUUUUGCUGUUUGGAGCCACACACGUGCUCACCCUGCUACUGGAUCCAGAGAUUAUUUGGUGGGAAUCAGGUCCCAUCCCACUUCCUUCAUAACUGAGUGUCGCAACAGUAAAAUGGAGCUUUGAUCAGAGUGACUUUGACUUAUCUUUUUUUUUUUUUUCUUCCGCCUGUCUAGUUCCUCUCUUGCAGCCCGAGUUGCCAUCUCAGUUGAACCGUUCGCGGUGAGCUGCUGGUCGGCCACAACAAGGGAGUUCCGGUCUAGCUAACCUUCUCAUGAAUAAUGCAAUAUUCUUAUUCCUCCUCAAAUCACAUCUCAAUCACCUUCCUAAACCAUUGUAAAUUCUUGUAUAUGUAAAUGGCUUGACUUUUAUUCUAAGUGAUUGUAUUGGAGGACUUACUACUAAUAAUUAAUGUAGUCUGUCAUACAUAUUAUAAUUAAAAUUCUAAACUUAGUUUGCUUAGUUUGCCCUGAGAUUUCUAACUCUAUGUAGUAGAUGGUAAUGCCUGAUUUCUUUCACUUUCUCUCUUACAAUACUAGAGGCAAUUCUGAAUGUAACUGAAUAGGCAACAUUCUUACUGAAUUCAAAGCCCAUGGUCAUUGGAUCAAAGAUUACCUUGGGCAUUGGUAAAGACUAGGAAGCAAAGUUAAAUUUUGCUUAGUUAAUUAGCAAGUCAUUGCAUGUCACUACUGGAGUGGAUGUAGCACAUCAACUCACAGGUACAAGAUUAUUGAAAUAAUCCCAUGCAUCUUAUCAUACCACCAUCAUAAAAUUUUUGACCCAGAAAUGUUCCUGUCAAAAGAAAGACAGGGACAAAAAAAUGUAACAAAGAAUGCAGGAAAUGGCACCCAAUGACUGCUCCAACUAGGGAUCCAUUCUUCCUACAGGCACCAAACCCAGACACUAUUGUUGAUGUUAUGAAGCACUUACUGCCAGAAGACUAGUUUGGCUGUUCCCUGAGAGUUUCUACCAGCACUUGACCAAUACAGAAGUACACAUUGACAGCCAACCACUAGAAUGAACCUGAGGACACCAAUGGAAGAGCUACAGAAACGAGUUAAGAAGCCUAAGGGGAUUGCAACACCAUAAGAAGUACAGUAUCAACUAAUUGUUUCAACCAGAGCUCACAGAGACUAAGCCAUCAAACAAAGAGGGAUAUACACAUGGAGGGAUACAUGGCUCCAGAUACAUAUGUAGCAUAGCAUGGACUUAUCUGAUAUCAAAGUGAAAGGAAACCCUUGGUCCUGGGAUGUUUGAUGCCCCAGAAAGUAAGAAGCUCAAACAAUGAGACAGGAGGAAGUGAGUGGGCAGAAGUGCACCUUCAUAGAGGGAAAGAGGAGCGGGGAAAGGAGAUAUGGAUGAGAGUUGGCAUGGAGUGAUUAUCUUAAAGGUGGAUAUCAUUUGAAAUAUAAGCAAAUAAAAUUAUUAGUUGCCUUG